AACGAACGCUGGCGGCAGGCCUAACACAUGCAAGUCGAGCGCAUCCUUCGGGAUGAGCGGCGGACGGGUGAGUAUCGCGUGGGAACGUGCCCUUCUCUACGGAAUAGUCCUGGGAAACUGGGGGUAAUACCGUAUACGCCCUUUUGGGGAAAGAUUUAUCGGAGAAGGAUCGGCCCGCGUUGGAUUAGGUAGUUGGUGGGGUAAUGGCUCACCAAGCCGACGAUCCAUAGCUGGUUUGAGAGGAUGAUCAGCCACACUGGGACUGAGACACGGCCCAGACUCCUACGGGAGGCAGCAGUGGGGAAUCUUAGACAAUGGGGGCAACCCUGAUCUAGCCAUGCCGCGUGAGUGAUGAAGGCCUUAGGGUUGUAAAGCUCUUUCAGCUGUGAAGAUAAUGACGGUAGCAGCAGAAGAAGUCCCGGCUAACUCCGUG
rnacentral:rRNA from 1 species